rnacentral:rRNA from 1 species
UACGUAGGGUGCAAGCGUUGUCCGGAAUUAUUGGGCGUAAAGAGCUCGUAGGCGGUCUGUCGCGUCGAUCGUGAAAACUUGGGGCUUAACCCUGAGCUUGCAGUGGGUACGGGCAGACUAGAGUGCGGUAGGGGAGACUGGAAUUCCUGGUGUAGCGGUGAAAUGCGCAGAUAUCAGGAGGAACACCGGUGGCGAAGGCGGGUCUCUGGGCCGUAACUGACGCUGAGGAGCGAAAGCAUGGGGAGCGAACAGG